AUCCCGGGAUUACUUAAAAAAUAUUCCGAAAUCCCGGGCUCACAAUUUUCCGCAUAUUUUGGCAUCUCUAGUAUAUACAUAUGUAUAU